CUGGGGCUGGGGCUCAGGGGUAGAGCGCUUGCCUAGCACGUGGGAGGCGCUGGGUUCGAUCCUCAGCGCCACAUA
rnacentral:tRNA from 1 species